rnacentral:lncRNA from 1 species
UCGGUCUGUGUCAUGAGCUGAGUUGAAGUUGGUGAUCACCCGGGAAGGAAUCCCCAACACCAUGGCACUCAGCACCCGGCCAACGUAUUUGGGGUCAUUUCUGCUGGCCACAUCAGUAGCAGCGUCACGGCGGAAAUUCAGACUCCUAUCCAAGAUUGAGAGGCAGAUGCUGAGAAUGUCUUCUUCAAACUGUUCAGAACGAG